rnacentral:rRNA from 1 species
AAUUCGCCCUUGAGCACGUAGGUGGGUUUGUAAGUCAGAUGUGAAAGCCUUCUGUUCAACGGGAGAAUUGCAUCUGAAACUACGAAUCUUGAGUGUAGGAGGGGAGAAUGGAACUUCUGGUGGAGCGGUGAAAUGCGUAGAUAUCAGAAGGAACGCCGGCGGCGAAAGCGAUUCUCUGGCCUAUUACUGACACUCAGUGUGCGAAAGCUAGGGGAGCAAACGGGAUUAGAUACCCCGGUAGUCCUAGCCGUAAACGAUGGGCACUAAGUAGAGGGGAUUACCGACGUUCUCUCUGCCGUAGCUAACGCAUUAAGUGCCCCGCCUGGGGAGUACGGCCGCAAGGCUAAAACUCAAAAGAAUUGACGGGGGCUCGCACAAGCGGUGGAGCAUGUGGCUUAAUUCGAUGCAACGCGAAGAACCUUACCGGGGCUUGACAUGGUAGAAGUAGGAACCCGAAAGGGUAACGAACGGUAUCCAGUCCGUAGCUAUCACAGGUGUUGCAUGGCUGUCGUCAGCUCGCGUCGUGAGACGUUGGGUUAAGUCCCCUAACGAGCGAAACCCUUGUUUUUAGUUACCAGCGGGUUGUGCCGGGUACUCUAGAAAGACUGCCGUCGUCAAGACGGAGGAAGGUGGGGAUGACGUCAAGUCAUCGUGGCCCUUAUGCCCCGGGCUGCACACGCGCUACAAUGGUCGGUACAAACGGAAGCGAAGCCGAGAGGUGAAGCGAAUCCAAGGGCGAAUU